rnacentral:lncRNA from 1 species
GGUGAAAUUGUUUAUCAGGUCAAGAUCUAUCUGCCCUGAAAUUUUCAGAUGAAUCGGACAACCCGUUGUUGGGUUGCUGCCCCUGAAUUGGUAAUUUUAAGGAAAUUUUGCUGUUUUUGGUUAUUAUCUUGAAUAUUAUUAUAGAUAGAGAUAAACUGUAAACAGCAAUAAUGUUCAGCAAAGUAAGAUUUACAAAUAAGUCUACAUGACCGAAAUGGUCAGUUGACCCCUUUCGGAGUUAUUGCCCUUUAUAGUCAAUUUUUAACCAUUUUUCGUAAAUCUUAGUAAUCUUUUACAAAAAUCUUCUCCUCUGAAACUACUGGGCCAAAUUAAACCAAACUUGGCCACAAUCAUCAUUGGGGUAUCUAGUUUUAAAAAUGUGUGGCGUGACCCGGCCAACUAACCAAAAUGGCUGCCACAGCUAAAAAUAGAACAUAGG